GAUGAACGCUGGCGGCGUGCCUAAUACAUGCAAGUCGAGCGAACGGACGAUAAGCUUGCUUCUCUGAUGUUAGCGGCGCACGUGUGAGUAACGCGUGUAUAACCUACCUAUAAGACUGAUAUAACUUCGGGAAACCGGAGCUAAUACCGUAUAAUAUUUUGAACCGCAGUGUUCAAAAGUGAAAUACGGUCUUGCUGUCACUUAUAGAUGCAUCCGCGCUGCAUUAGCUAGUUGUUAAGGUAACGGCUUACCAAGGCAAGUAUGCAUAGCCGACCUGAUAGGGUGAUCGGCCACAUUGGAAGGGAGACGGCGUCCAGAGUACUACGGGACGGCGCAGUCGGCAAUCUUCCGCAGUGGGCGAAAGCAUGACGGAGCAACGCGGAGUGAGAUGUGGCGGUCUUGCGAUCGUAAAGCUCUGUUAUUAGGGAAGAACAUAUGUGUAAGUAAAUGUGGACAUAUUGACGGUACUUAGUAAGAAAGCCACGGCUAACUACGUG
rnacentral:rRNA from 1 species